ACGGUAGAACGCAGAGAGGAAAGUCAUUACAUGAGCUACAUGCAGAAGAGCCCUGGAAACGCAGCGAUGAUGGGAUGUAGUAAGACGGUAUUCAGAUAGGAAAGGGGUGAUGAUCUGAUACAAGCUGCUUGCAGACAAAUCCUGAAAACAUGGGCUAAUAAGCGAGGAUUCCAAAGGUGACAGGUUGCCUGAUUCCGCUUACAUCUGACACAAACAAGACAGAUCCAUAUGAACAGCAGCAGGUGGGAAAGUCUGCACUUCUUUAGGAACUGGCCAGGUGUCACUUCUCUAUGUCACCUGCACUUCCCUGGGUGAUGGCCCUUCACCACCAGAGAGAUCACUGGCCUCUUUCACAGAAGAAAGUGAAGAGCAUCCAUUGGUUGGGUGUGGGGAUGUCUUGUAACUGGGGUGUAGAUUCUCGUGAUGUGGCUGAAGAAGAGACAAUCUGGAAACUCCAGAGGACGCAGUCAUCGUUGUGGUGAUUGUCCAUCACUUUCCCAAGUCCACCAGAAAGUGAGGGUGUGAGGUUUGGGAAGAGUUUGUGAAACCAAUGAUCAGAGACAGGACAGCUCCCUGGAUGGGCUCAUGUAACCCUCAACUGCCAUCUUCUCAUGGUUAAAAUGAAAAGAUAGAAAUCAACCAACUCUGUGGCAUGUACUGGCAGUUUCUGGACAUGGUACAAUCAAAAGACCAUGUAAGAAGCCGUGGAAUCCCAGACUAACUCCUGCGACGUACGGCUACAUACGGCUUCCUGCUUCUGUGGGAGUCACUCCUGGUAGCAUUUCUGACCCAGGAAGACUUUUUCUACUUCACUUUGAGAUCAGAGUUGAAGCUCAACUUUUGGUCCCAUGAUAAUCAGUUGUUUUUUUGUUUUUUGUUUUUUUGUUUUUUUUAAUAAACAUGAUCCAGGCACUGAAGCACACACACAGACCUAGAAAUGCAGUAUUUACUGAGGUGGUGUUUCUGGGCCGUGUUCAAAGGAUACUUGGCAGGUGUGCGUAGCAAAGGGACCCUAAAUGUCACAUAAACCAGGAGGCAGGGCACAUUGCACAAUGUACCGUCUCUAUUGCCUGGCUGUCAUAAAGUGACUCCUUCCGGGAUGGAUGUGUGCCGUCUCUUUCAUCUGUUAUUUGACUAAAUGAUGAAAGUGGCAAUUAGGUUUUCAUAGGCUGUGUUUACAUAACUUCUUUUUUGAAAACAAAAAAAAAGAAAAACAAAAAACCAAACAGUGCCAAUGUAUACAACCAACCGUCGGUAUAUUUACAUCUCCGGGGUGGAGUUAAGGCUGCUUUGUGGUAAACAUAAGGAAACUCACCAUGCUGGUUUCUCUUUUCUUUUCUUUUCUUUUCUUUUCUUUUCUUUUCUUUUCUUUUCUUUCUUUCUUUUUAUUUUUUUUCCAACCUCAAAUGAAGUUUCCCAUUAACCAAGAAUUUUAUUGGUUGGUUCAUUCUUGUUGUUAUCCAAAUCAGAAAUGAAACUUGUGUCGGGCCCAAACUCUCUUUAUUGCCAGUAGAACCGCUCAGACAGAGGGUCCUUACCUCUGGGGAUGAAGCUUGAAAGUUUACAUGGGAAACAAACAAGUGUGGCUGUGGCCCUAGGAAUGUUGACUCCAAGUCAUGCUGUUUCUGGGAAAGGGUGUUCUGAUCCGAUAUCGCCAAUAAUCUUCAUUACAAAUAAAAAGGCCGUCUUUAAAAUCCC
ensembl:lincRNA 2810404F17Rik RIKEN cDNA 2810404F17 gene